rnacentral:ncRNA from 1 species
ACCAUCCUUUUCUUGGGGUAGCGCUACUAUCCAGUGAAUGAGUAGUGACGGCAGUACUGCUAAUGCCUAAACAACACGCACGCAUCAACUAGAGCUUUGCUUUACUUUGGUGCAAUUUUUGGAAAA